GAACGCGAAGAACCUUACCAGGUCUUGACAUUGAUGGACAGAACUAGAGAUAGUUCCUCUUCUUCGGAAGCCAGAAAACAGGUGGUGCACGGUUGUCGUCAGCUCGUGUCGUGAGAUGUUGGGUUAAGUCCCGCAACGAGCGCAACCCCUAUCUUAUGUUGCCAGCACUUCGGGUGGGAACUCAUGAGAGACUGCCGCAGACAAUGCGGAGGAAGGCGGGGAUGACGUCAAAUCAUCAUGCCCCUUAUGACCUGGGCUACACACGUACUACAAUGGGAGUUAAUAGACGGAAGCGAAACCGCGAGGUGGAGCAAACCCGAGAAACACUCUCUCAGUUCGGAUCGUAGGCUGCAACUCGCCUACGUGAAGUCGGAAUCGCUAGUAAUCGCAGGUCAGCAUACUGCGGUGAAUACGUUCCCGGGUCUUGUACACACC
rnacentral:rRNA from 1 species